rnacentral:misc_RNA from 1 species
AAGAGAUACAUUUUAUGUUAGUUUGUCCCAGGUUUAGGAUGUGGUCAGGAGCACAAGGAUGUUUACGUGAUAGGGUUUCAAUAAUUAUGUUUAAGAUUGUUUUUCUUUCUUAUCAAUUCAUAAAUUGUCCAUCAUGGUGAAGUACAUACUUUGCACAACUUCUACACUGCAAUUGUUGACGCAGGCUUCAAGCUCACUGGCUU